CUGCUGGAGGCUGCAGGCGGAGAGAUAUAGCCGAGACCAUCUUUUAGUGUGUGUUGUUAUUUACUAGCGCUGUGAAUCAAGGAAGCGAAAUAACAAAAGAGCCCAAAGACUGCACAGCUCCAGCAUGUAGGCCCUGGAGAGAGUCUGGAAUCCUCAGACGGACAGAAAAGAAAACAUCAGAAGGACAACCAGGGGUGCCUGUGGCUGCUGAGUACAGGACCAGCAGCCCGGUGGUGGAACCAUCCAGCAAGCCAUCCGGUGAGCCGGGCAUUUUGACAUCAAUCAUCAAUCAAAAAAGGACACCUCCAGUGGCCAAUCAUCUCAUGAGGGGAUUUUCUCAGAUAUGAAUCAGAGAGAAAGAAGUGAAAUCUUGUCCUAGGAAGAAAGGGAGCGAUUGGCAGAAGACUUUUCUCUGGAAACAGGAGCAGUAGUUGCUACCUUGGGGAAGUUGUCUGGUGACAUUUACUUGUGCUAAAGUACCAAGGACAGCAUGCUGCCUGCGUGUAGCCCUCAGACCUACUGCAGCCCUGGGCACAUGGUGGACACUUAAUAAACUCUUAAAUUAUA